UGGGGAAUAUUGGACAAUGGGCGCAAGCCUGAUCCAGCAAUGCCGCGUGUGUGAAGAAGGCCUUCGGGUUGUAAAGCACUUUUAUCAGGAGCGAAACGCUGUCGGCUAAUACCCGGCGGAACUGACGGUACCUGAGGAAUAAGCACCGGCUAACUUCGUGCCAGCAGCCGCGGUAAUACGAAGGGUGCAAGCGUUAAUCGGAAUUACUGGGCGUAAAGCGUGCGUAGGCGGUUUCUUAAGUCUGCUGUGAAAUCCCCGGGCUCAACCUGGGAAUGGCAGUGGAUACUGGGAGGCUAGAGUGUGUCAGAGGGUGGUGGAAUUCCCGGUGUAGCGGUGAAAUGCGUAGAGAUCGGGAGGAACAUCAGUGGCGAAGGCGGCCACCUGGGACACACUGACGCUGAGGCACGAAAAGCGUGGGGAGCAAACAGGAUUAGAUACCCUGGUAGUCCACGCCCUAAACGAUGCGAACUGGAUGUUGGUCUCAACUCGGAGAUCAGUGUCGAAGCUAACGCGUUAAGUUCGCCGCCUGGGGAGUACGGUCGCAAGACUGAAACUCAAAGGAAUUGAC
rnacentral:rRNA from 1 species